CCGCAGUUGCCUGCUGUGACGUCUGAACCUCAACAAUGAGUCAUCUACAAUGGAUCCUACCACUGGGAGUUUUCCUAGUUCUGGUCAAGACCAUCGAUGGCUGCUUUGGGACACCAGCAUCCAAGGAGGACCUACUCAAAUCCCUUUAUGCAGUUGGAUGCGGCCUUGAUGAAGCCUAUUCAGGUUCAUUAUCACAGGCUUGAGAUGGCUGAAAGGGAAAACUGGGCUGGAAUACAACCAGCU